UUUCCGUAGGGAUGGAUGAAACACAAACUGGGGCAGCUCCGCGCCAAGGGAAAAUUGAAAGGCACGGGCCCCGCAUCGGGCUCGGUGGCGUGGAGCGCCGUCGCGCUCCAUGCAGAUGGACACGACUCUCGGCAAUGGAUAUCUUGGCUCUC
rnacentral:misc_RNA from 1 species